UACGGGGGAUGCAAGCGUUAUCCGGAAUGAUUGGGCGUAAAGCGCCUGUAGGUUGUUUAUUAAGUCCGUUGUUAAAGCCUAGGGCUUAACCCUAGAAAAGCAAUGGAAACUAGUAGACUAGAGUAUGGCAGGGGUAGAGGGAAUUUCUAGUGUAGCGGUGAAAUGCGUAGAUAUUAGAAAGAACACCGGUGGCGAAAGCGCUCUACUGGACCAUUACUGACACUCAGAGGCGAAAGCUAGGGUAGCAAAAGGG
rnacentral:rRNA from 1 species